AACGUACGCUGGCGGCACGCCUAACACAUGCAAGUCGAACGAAGUAGCAAUACUUAGUGGCAGACGGGUGAGUAACAUGUAGGUAUCUGCCCUUUGGCCUGGAAUAACACGAGGAAACUUGUGCUAAUACCGGAUAAGUCUUUACGGAGAAAGCUUUAUGCACCAUUGGAUGAGCCUGCACUUGAUUAGUUUGUUGGUGGGGUAAUGGCCUACCAAGACUGUGAUCAAUAGCUGAUUUGAGAGGAUGAUCAGCCACAUUGGGACUGAGACACGGCCCAAACUCCUACGGGAGGCAGCAGUGGGGAAUCUUGCACAAUGGAGGAAACUCUGAUGCAGCGAUGCCGCGUGAGUGAAGAAGGCCCUUGGGUUGUAAAGCUCUUUCGUCGGGGAAGAAAAUGACUGUACCCGAAUAAGAAGGUCCGGCUAACUUCGUGCCAGCAGCCGCGGUAAUACGAAGGGACCUAGCGUAGUUCGGAAUUACUGGGCUUAAAGAGUUCGUAGGUGGUUGAAAAAGUUGGUGGUGAAAUCCCAGAGCUUAACUCUGGAACUGCCAUCAAAACUUUUCAGCUAGAGUAUGAUAGAGGAAAGCAGAAUUUCUAGUGUAGAGGUGAAAUUCGUAGAUAUUAGAAAGAAUACCAAUUGCGAAGGCAGCUUUCUGGAUCAUUACUGACACUGAGGAACGAAAGCAUGGGUAGCGAAGAGGAUUAGAUACCCUCGUAGUCCAUGCCGUAAACGAUGUGUGUUAGACGUUGGAAAUUUAUUUUCAGUGUCGCAGCGAAAGCGAUAAACACACCGCCUGGGGAGUACGACCGCAAGGUUAAAACUCAAAUGAAUUGACGGGGACCCGCACAAGUAGUGGAGCAUGUGGUUUAAUUCGAAGAUACGCGCAGAACCUUACCAACACUUGACAUGUUCGUCGCGACUUUAAGAGAUUAAAGUUUUCGGUUCGGCCGGACGAAACACAGGUGCUGCAUGGCUGUCGUCAGCUCGUGUCGUGAGAUGUUGGGUUAAGUCCCGCAACGAGCGCAACCCUCACUUUUAGUUGCCAUCAUUUAGUUGGGCACUCUGAAAGAACUGCCAGUGAUAAGCUGGAGGAAGGUGGGGAUGACGUCAAGUCCUCAUGGCCCUUACGUGUUGGGCUACACACGUGCUACAAUGGUAUCUACAACAGGAAGCAAGACGGCGACGUUAAGCAAAUCCUUAAAAGAUACCUCAGUUCGGAUUGCACUCUGCAACUCGAGUGCAUGAAGCUGGAAUUACUAGUAAUCGUGGAUCAGCGUGCCACGGUGAAUGCGUUCCCGGGUCUUGUACACACCGCCCGUCACACCAUGGGAGUUGGUUCUACCUUAAGGCAAGGUUUCAAACCCUUGACCACGGUAUAGUCAGCGACUGGGGUG
rnacentral:rRNA from 1 species